UACGUAGGGCGCAAGCGUUGUCCGGAAUUAUUGGGCGUAAAGAGCUUGUAGGUGGCUCGUCGCGUCGGGAGUGAAAACCCGCGGCUUAACCGCGGGCCUGCUUUCGAUACGGGCGGGCUAGAGUUCGGCAGGGGAGACUGGAAUUCCUGGUGUAGCGGUGGAAUGCGCAGAUAUCAGGAGGAACACCGGUGGCGAAGGCGGGUCUCUGGGCCGAUACUGACACUGAGAAGCGAAAGCGUGGGGAGCGAACAGG
rnacentral:rRNA from 1 species